AUGAGGAGCCAGGAUGGAGCGGGACAGCUCUUCCUCCCCAGCCGCGCCGUUUUGUGGCUCUCCCACCACCCAGCGGUGCUGCAGGCGGGGGUCCAGGUCCCCUUCGCCACGAAGCCCAUCACACCGAGCCCCCUCGCUCCUGCCCUCGCUGCACGCACGGUUGGUGACACAGCCGGGCUGGCUGGUCCCUGUCCUUCCUCCUCCUCUCCUUCCUCUGCCGCCCUCCGGACAGACCCUGUCCUAACCCUCAGUGUGUUGCUCUGGGCUUGGAGACCUUCCUCCUCCCUGGUCAAGCGAGGAGGACUUCCCUCCUCUCGUUCUCCUUGCCCCACACCCAUCCCGAGCCGCGCCGCCUCCGCUCCGACGUGCCGCGCGCGCGCAGCUGCACGGAAAAGCCGGGCAGAGGCUUGCCGCUGCAACGAGGAGGUGCCCUCGCCCUCCCCUCCUGCCGGCUGCAAAUCGGCGAUCGCCCCCAACGCGCGCAGCCGCGUUCCCGCGUCGUCCGGGAUCAGCGCGGCCGCGGCACACUGCCCGGCGCGGGCGGCGCGUCGCCUGCCGUCGCUCUCAUAUGCUUCUCGUCAGGCGCCCCACACCUCCUCCGGCGCGCCGCGCGGCAGAUGCUGCCGUCUCGGGGGUGCCACGACCGCUCGGGAUCCGGAGCGAGGGGAGCCGAGGAUAAAACAGCUCCAGCCGCGCGAGAGGGAGGGAGGUGGAAAGCAGCCGAGCGGUGCCGAUUUUGGCACACGGAGCGGCGGGGGCACGGCGGCAGCAACGGCAGCUCACUCGCGCUGUCGCGGCGACUUCGCUUUGCUCCUCGAAGCUCGGCCAGUCGGCAGAGCAAGGGAGGAGAAGCCGGGAAGGAGGGCAGCCGGCACGGGAUGGCUCGGCGCGCUCCCGCCUUCUCCCCGGCGGCCGGCGAGGGCUGCUGCUCACUUCGGCGCCUUCGGCACCGUGCGGGCGCGAAACGCCUGUGCCGAGCGAGCGCCCGGCUCGGAGGUGGAGGGUACCGAACCCGUCCUCUCGCCUCAUUCCAGACACCAAAGGUCUUGGAGCGGCUCUCGCCCCUGCCCGGCUCCCCACCUCCCUGCCUCCCGCAGCACCGUUGCCAAAGGACCAGACAGGCCGGGCUGA
rnacentral:lncRNA from 1 species